UUGGCACGGUAAGCGAUCGCUUGCAAAAGAGGAAAGUCCGAGCUGCAAUAAGACAGAGUUCCAUCUAACGGAUGGCUAGGGUAACCUAAGGGAAAGUGUAACAGAGAGCAGACUUCCGCGAAAGCGGUAAAGGUGAAACGGCGGAGUAAGAGCCCACCGGUACGCUUGGUAACUUGCGUAGCCAUAUAAACCCAACUCGCAGCAAGAAGGGAUGGUUUUGGUCUUAUGAUAAAACCCUUCGCUAGAACUUGUAUGUAAAUGCAAGAUGAGAUAAAUGAUCGCUCAAGACAGAACUCGGCUUAUCGCCGUGCCUCUAUC
rnacentral:RNase_P_RNA from 1 species